GCGGCAUAGAAAUCAUCAAAGGCUCCCACAAGUGGGUAUAGACGGUUGUGAUUGAAGAAUCAAACAAAUUUUCGUAACUUCGAAAGCAAAAUUUCGGACACAUUAAAAAAUGGACUUGGAGAAUCUUUGAAUCCCAGCUCUCCAGUUGGAGAAGACAACGACCGACUUGGCAGAUCAUCGUGAUUGGUGUUGAUAAAAGUUACAGUAAUCCAUCGUGUUUCAGGAGGACAAAGGGUGACUCGGUUGAUCCGUAGUAUUCUCCGAGCUUCCAAUAUAUUUUUUAAACACUAUGUAUGUAUGUUUUAGUUUUAAGACGCCCUUCAAUUUUUGAAAUUGCUGCAAAUCAAAAACCAGUCUGCACCAUUUGGGUUCUUAUUUAUGGAAAAACCUUACCUUUUCGCUUAAAUUUAUUUUAAAUAAUAAAUUCUUCCUUCUUUAUCAUCAUUGUUUGUGUACUUACCUAGAAAUAAACAAAGAAAACAAUUUGAUUAGAUUUUGUUGAAAACAUUAACUUAAAAUUGUUUCUAAACAAAAUAUACCUGUAAAGGGUGUUUUAUAGAUAUUUAAUGUAACUUAAACAAGAAAAACAAUGACAGUCUUAAAAUGCUGACUCAAUUCAUAUGAACAAAUAACUUGAUCUAUUAAAUAACGUCCAUUUAAAUUUACAAACAAUAAUUUUAAAUUAAUUUCAAUCUGAUUUACAUCAAUUUUCAUAGAAUUGACUAAGUAUCAGAAUAGAAACGGAAAGAUAAAAAAUUUUUCCAACGAAUUAUCAAUUUAAAAUAAACAAUAGAAAUGAAUAAUUAAACUUUUUUGUUGAUAUCACUGUUAAUUCAAAACCGAUUAAAACUUUAUAACUAUGUUUAGUCUUUCUAAAUUUACAUUCUCAACUAAACGCCAUCGGUACCGGAAAAAUGUUUUCCAAAAACAAGUUAAUUUUUAUCGUAUUAUUUCUAAUAUUGGCGUUUGGGAAUUUUGUUCUAGUGAAAUCUUUUUAUACGACUACCGCAGAAGAAGAAUCUAUAACACUUCCCUCAAGUUAUACGGAAAUUCCAUAUGAUGCUUCAUCUGAAAUUCCUGUAACUGGCUUAAAGGGUCCUUUGCCAUUAGAACUUACUGCAGAUACUUUAAAAGUUCUUGUUGGAUAAUUUGUUUCAUGUCAUUUUUAUUGUUUUUAUCAGUGAAAUUAUUUAUUUAAAAAACAUUAUUUUAAUUUUAAUAAAAUAAAAAUAAUUUAUAAUGA